AAUCACUCAUUUUCUUAAUGUGUAUUUUUAGACUAAUCCAACAAUUUAAAAUACAAUUUUAAAACGAAUAUCAGGGAUUAGCCAAACAACAAUUUAGAGGUUAUGUUCAUAUUCGGAAGAUCGGCGUUGACUGGCUACACCAUAUACUUAUAACCUCUUAUGGGGUUUAUAAGUAUAUGGGCUACAAUAAUUUUUUGACACUUUGCUUGAAAUAAAUCCGAAAACAAGUCUGACUAUCAGAUGACAAUCAGAAAUUUGUGUAAGAACAUCAAACUUUUGAAAACCGAUCAGAAGUUUCUGUGCGAACGCAUUUUACUCUAUUGCGCUUGUUUAUUUGUCGAAAACUUAUUUCUUACUGCUGUGAGAACAAACCUUUAAGGUACGCGCACAUACAACGGCAUCGCACGGACGGCACGGAGGAGACGGAGACGCCACUAAAAAGCACCCGAUUCCCGCCGGUGAUCGUGUAUGUUCGGAGAACAAUUCGGUCGUUUGAUGUGAAUGACACGAAUGUUCCCGCUUUUUUUGCCUUUGUUGGGUAACAAUGUUUACUUUUGUAAAAAAGCUCCAACUAAUUUGAUCGACUAUUGCGAUUAUACUGAACUUUCCUUUGUUUCUUUGUGAAAUAUUGACCAUACCGUUGCUUAUAGUGUUUUAAAAUAAUACCUGAAAAGCUGUAUUAAUUCCAAUUCAGCGAUUUUAGCUGUAAAGAUGGACUCUACUUAAAACCAUCAGAAUCAGGACCAAACUAUCAACAAAAAUAUGUGCCACUUAUGCAGUAAAAUGUUUUAUUCCAUUUCAGCUAAGAACAAACAUAUAUUAAGGUUAUUCAUAACCAGCAGCUCCCAGAUAACCCAAAGUCACAUAUUUCUUGUCCCUUAUGCAAAGAGAUGAAAAAUUCUUGUGAGACUUAUCAAAAACUUGAAGCUCAUUUACAGGUAAGUCAUGAUAUCAAAAUAGAGUCCUCAACAUUUCAUUUUUCCAGAGAAGAAAGAUUUGAGGAAUGGUUAAGAGAGCAUAAAAUAAGCACAAACUAUGCACUUGUUUGCACAAGGAAAUUUGAAGACAAGAUUGAAAAAGUAUAUUGUUGCAAUCGAAGUGAUUUUAGAGGAUUUGAAAGCAAAUGUAGUAAGAGAACAAUAAAAUGUAGUGGUUCCAUUAAAAUGAAUGGUGUAUGUCCUUCUCAUUUAAAUGUCAAGAUUUAUGGUGCAGGUAGCAUUAUAUAGUCCUUUAGGGUAUCCACACAACGAGCCUGGAUGAUCACCAGUAGCAUGGCUGUAAGCCUUAUUUUUGUAUUGUCUUUAUGAUGUGUGAGCAAAGAAAGGGAAGCGAUUCUGUUUUAGGUGAACUCCUUGGGGAAUGUUCUUCCAAUAAUAUUGAAGCUAGCCAUAGUGUAGAAAUUGAAACGUUUGUUAAUGAGAGGACAACUGAAAAUCAACAAGUAGCAGUACAAUGAUUGAAACUUAUGAUAAGUGCAUGAGACAACUGACAUCAGUGAUGGAACAGGUAAAUAAGACAAAUACAGGUAAACGAAAAAUGGACAAACAAGUUUAUUUUCCAUCAAAGAAGAAGAAGGAGCAGUAAAUAAAAAUAAUAAAUUGUAUAUUUUUUUCUAUUUAUGGUUUAAGUAUAUAUGUAUAUGUGUAUUAUAAUUUUUUAUGUAAGUUUUAGGCAAAUAUUUGAAAAAACAUUACCUAUCUCAUAAGUUUCUUCUUUAGCAUAAAAAAAUUAAGUUUCUUUUCAAAUCAGUCAUAUACAUGUCUUUGCAGCAUUUAUAAAAUAAAACUUUUAAUAUAUGGUACGUUUAUAUAACAGUAUAACUAAUUAAAUCCAUUGUGUUUUCACUUACCAAAAUUACUUCUCUACCUAGGUAUAAAAGUUAUUAAAAAAAAUAGGUACUUAUUUCAAAAAGAUUAAUAACAUUUAUAUAUUUAAGAUUAAAAUUAAAGUGCAAUA